rnacentral:tRNA from 1 species
UUUAUAGAAAUGAAACAUCAUAUAUGAUUUCGAAUCAUAAUUUGGCUUACGCCCUAUUAAG